GAUGAACGCUGGCGGCGUGCCUAACACAUGCAAGUCGAACGGAGUUACUUUGGUGAAGUUUUCGGUACGGAUCUGAUUUAACUUAGUGGCGGACGGGUGAGUAAUGCGUGAGCAACCUGCCCUUCAGAGGGGGACGAACAGUUGGAAACGACUGCUAAUACCGCAUAAUGUAUCCGGGAGGCAUCUUCUGGAUACCAAAGGAGAAAUCCGCUGAUGGAUGGGCUCACGUCUGAUUAGCUAGUUGGUGAGGUAACGGCUCACCAAGGCUGCGAUCAGUAGCCGGACUGAGAGGUUGAACGGCCACAUUGGGACUGAGAUACGGCCCAGACUCCUACGGGAGGCAGCAGUGGGGAUAUUGGCAAAUGGGCGAAAGCCUGACCCAGCAACGCCGCGUGAAGGAAGAAGGCCUC
rnacentral:rRNA from 1 species